GUGGGGAAUAUUGGACAAUGGGCGAAAGCCUGAUCCAGCCAUGCCGCGUGUGUGAAGAAGGUCUUCGGAUUGUAAAGCACUUUAAGUUGGGAGGAAGGGUAGUAACCUAAUACGUUGCUACUUUGACGUUACCGACAGAAUAAGCACCGGCUAACUUCGUGCCAGCAGCCGCGGUAAUACGAAGGGUGCAAGCGUUAAUCGGAAUUACUGGGCGUAAAGCGCGCGUAGGUGGUUUUGUAAGUUGGAGGUGAAAUCCCCGGGCUCAACCUGGGAACUGCCUCAAAAACUGCAUGACUAGAGUACGGUAGAGGGUAGUGGAAUUUCCUGUGUAGCGGUGAAAUGCGUAGAUAUAGGAAGGAACACCAGUGGCGAAGGCGACUACCUGGACUGAUACUGACACUGAGGUGCGAAAGCGUGGGGAGCAAACAGGAUUAGAUACCCGGGUAGUCC
rnacentral:rRNA from 1 species